rnacentral:lncRNA from 1 species
CUUUCAAGAGCUAAGGAAAUUCAAGGAACUAGUUGUUAUUGCUAUAUAACAAGAAAAGGUAUGUAUUCUAUUUUUAUAUAUGAAUUUCGAAAAUAAUAGUAGCAUGCCAGGUUUCUUUUUGUGUUCAUAAAGUUGUAUAACUNAGAUCCAAGCAUUAGGGUUUGUAUGAGCACAUAGGACUGUUUCUUAUGCAUAAAACCCAUCAGUGGUAUCAGAGCCUUGAUUGGUUUCAGUUGUAUUUGAUGCUUAUAUGUUUUAUGAAUUUGACAAAUUAGGGUUUAUGGCAUGUAAACCCUAAGGCAUGGUGUUUUUCGCAAAUUAGGGUUGCAAAACCCUAGUUGGCGAUUUUUGAUAGGGUUCUUAAAUUUUUUUUUGCCUAGCCUCCAAAUUUCGAAAUUAGGGUUAGGAAACCCUAGGGAUUUCGAAAAUCCCUUGCCCCCCAAGAUAAGAUCCUAAAUUUUAGGGAUUUGGAUAUUGCCAUAUCUUGUAAUUAUCCUUUAAAUGUUUAAAUUUGGUAAUUAAAGAUUUUGAAUAUCCCAUCCCAUAAUUUUGAAUUCUAUGGGAUUUAAGGGAUUAGGUUAAAUUAAUUGUUUAAUUUAAAAGAUAUCCUUACCAAAGUAAAAGAUAAUUGUCAAAUUAAUUAGAUAAUCAUUUCUUUAUGCGAUAAACUUGAUUUAUUUGAUUUAUUUGAUAGAUUAUCUUGCAAGAAAUUGAAUUAGGUCAUAUUUAGAUAAUUACUAAUUAAUUGGUUAAUUAUUAUUAUUUGUAAUUUGAUCUAGAAUGUUCUUGCUUAUGUUUUGAAAAGUUUCAAAACUUGCCCUCAAGUUUUGGAAUUUAAAUUGUUUGAUUAAAAGGUUUAAUUUUGAAAAAGGUCUAAAUUCUAAAAUCCUAAUUUUGAAAAAGUUCAAAUUACAUCCUUAUGGUUUUAUUAAAUUAAUUAAAGUGCAUAAUUAAAGGUGAUUUAAUAAACCCAUAAAGUUUCUGGUUUACAUUUAAUUAAAUUAAAAGUAUAAUUUACUAAGUUAAACCACCUAGUAUUUUAAAAGUGUAAAAUNCGAUCUAUAAGGCGGAUAUAAGGUUAUGGCCUAUAAAAUGGCCGUUUAAUGGGUGUCCACUCUCACCCACCGCUUCCUUGAUUGGGGGAGGGUCGUUAGCCGAACGAGUAGGAUAGGGCAAACCCUUUCCAUUAAAAGUAUAAUGAAGUAUAAAGUAACUAAAUGUUUUUACAAAAUUUCCAAUCUUAGUUACUUUAGGCAAAAGUGAAUUGAUGCAAUUCCAUGAAAUUACACUUUGUGCCCUUGCGAAGACGUUAGUGGAGCGCGUGUGGUUAACCGACACACUAAAUGGUUCUAAACAAAGGGUGACUCAAUGUUUGUCAUAGUUCGGUGGAGCGUGUGUGGUUAACCGGCACAUCAAAUAGGUGACUAUAACAUUGGGGGCACCAUGUAAGUUUGCAUGGUUAUUCACACCUUGUUUUGUGAUCCUCGGCAUCCCAGUCACAAAUCGAGGGGCAUAUCGAGAUUUAAACAUGCCAUUGAAAAGUUCAAUGAGUCUCAAAAGAUCUAGGAGUUUUCAAUACAUUUAAAACUUAAGUUUCCUUUUCGUUUUUCAUGGUGGAAAUUGGUAAAUCGUCAUUUACCGACCUUCAAAUAUUCUGUAGCUAGAUUACGGCAUCCCUCUUCUAGGUUGUAGAGUAUUGUGUUGGAUCCUAGCCUUGAUGUUUCAUUUGGGUGUCACAUAAAGGAUUUGAAUCAACUUAACUUGAAUUUUCUGCCGUUUUGUAGAUGUCAAAGUAUGACAGCUAUGGUCUUCCCAAAUCUCGUGGAACAAGCUUUCCACAUGAAGAUGAUAUUCCACGAUUUGAUCGAGGAACAAGAGAUCAUGCUUCACUUACUCCACUUCCUCCAAUUGUUCUCCCAACCCCACAAGUUCAAAGGCUUUAAAAUUACAAGCUCACUCAAGCCCUAUUGGAAAUUAAGCACGAAGAUGGGAAACCUGUGUGUGCACACGUCUUACAGAUGAAGUCACACAUUGAUAGGUUAAGGAUGUUGGGUGUCGAGAUUUUAGGUGAGUUGGCUGUUGAUUGGGUUCUUCAGUUGCUUCCUGAAUCAUAUAGUGAGUUCGUUAGAGAGUACUAUAUGAUGGAUCACGACGUGACCAUCAUUGAUCUCACCUAUUUGCUUAUAGCUACUGAAUCAUCAAUGAUUUGGCGUGUUGUUCAAGCAAAUUUGUAUGGUGAAUCAAACUCCCAAACUAUAAUGGACACUGGCAACAUCAGAAGUCUAGAAAGAACUAAGUCUAUGAUUGUCCAAUGUAUUGUGCCAAAGGAGUCCAUUUGCUUUUAUUGCCAAGAGAAGGGGCAUUGGAGACGAAGCUGCCCUAUUUACCUAAAAGAUCUAAGAGAUGGGAGAGUCAAAACGUAUGGCUUUACUUCAGAUAAAAUCCAUUAACUAACUCUUUUAAGUUCCUAUUCUAUAUUCUUAAUACAUGAUGUAAUAAGAUUACAUUUUGAUGUUCUAUAGGAUCGAAGAAAAGAGAGGAAGCUUAAGGGAAGAAGUGAGUUGAAUCUAAUCGUGAAGAAAUGGAUUUCGAUCGCAUUGCUUGAAGAUUAGAAUUUUGAGAUACUACUUGGAGUUAGAAUAGAUUGCUAUGAAAUAUGUAUUAACAUAGUUUUCAAUUGAAUCGCAUUGUAAGGACAAAUUUUUCCGCAAUAAAAUAAAUUUUGAUUUUAUAUUAUUUAUUUAUCCUUGCAAUGGCGUGUAUGAAAAAUUGAUGUUUGAAUGUUUCAAGUAUUAGCAAUAAUGGAUUAUGUUAUUUGUGGAAAUGUCAAGAAUUUACCAAAUAGGGAGAGUUUCUCAUCGCCCAAGUUUCAAUUAGACAGAGACUUGGAAUCAUGCAACUUGGUUGCAUGAUUCAUGAGAAGUUUUAUAUUUGGAAAUUAGACUAAUUCGUUGACAAAAUGUCAAGUGAAGGACUAUGAGAUCGAGUACACAAAGUUGUGUGUUUAUCAAGUCCACCACAAGAGUGACAAAGAUAUUCGUCAUGAUUUACUAAAGGUUUAGUAAAUAUGAUUAUAGUUAUAAGAUCAAGUGUAAUUCUGAGUUGAUUGAAAGAUUUUAAAUCAAUAGCAGAACGGAUAAGAAGAAUCAAGUAGGCAGAAAGAUAAACGUUUCUCUAUUCUAAGAAGAAGGGAGAGUACCUUUUAUUAUGUUUUAUGAUAGGUCUUAAUGAUUAAGAACCAUAUCUCAAUUGAUCCUCUAAAUGAGUCUUAGUACAAUUGCAUGUCUGAGAAGAGGAAUCAAGAAUUGAAGAAAUGGUUAAAUCAAGAAGUCAAUCAUACUUCGUUCCAAAACAAGUCUUAGAGUUAAGAUUGUAACAAUUCUUAGAAAAUGUGGAAAGUUGUGAUGUCUUGGAUAAGACAAAGACCAACUAGGACCAAUUUUGUGAAGUGUUUUGUCUUGAUAAAAGCUACACUAACUCUUGAAUAUUUGUUUGUCGAGAAAUGUUUAUUGACAAGAGAAUCUUAUAUGUCAAGGAGUUAGUGGGAGUCUUAAUGGUCUUGAAAAGUUCAAGAACUAAUCAAGAAUAAACCUUAUCGAUCAUCACUAGCACACGACUUGAGGUUCACAACCUAUCGUGUUGACACUAUCUUGUUUCUGUGCCGUUCCAAUUGAGUUAAUUAUGCAUGUGAGUUCUAUGAGUUCUCAUUUGAACGCAUAAAAGGCAAGCACCUUGAUCAAUGAAAAGUACAUUGAUAGGAAAGGAUGAUUUGCUUAACUGCUUGGAAGACAUGGUGGGCACUCGUGUUACCAUAAGGCAAGAAAUCAAGAUUGAGAAAGUUCGGUCCAUAUGAGUUUGGAUUUGUCGCAAACUUUGGUUUUGACAAAUUCGCAUGGAUAGGAACACAUACACCAUUAAAAUCUAAGUGUCAUAAGAUUCCCUCCUUCAUGAAAAUGACUGUGAGGAAAUGCUUUCACUAAGAGAGAUUUUAAGAAGAUAGUGAUUGUGAAAAUUGUAUUCUCGAAUUCGAUUAUGGUUACGGUAUCCCUUUCCAUGAUUCGAAUUGUGAGAUUUGGCAAUUAGUCUGAAUUGUUUAGACACACAUAUGAGCUAUCUAAGGCAAAGGUGUAUAAGUUUAAGAAGCUUAGAUAAAGGAUUAUCAAAGCAUUAGGUAUUAGAAAUAUGAACUUAAGAAAUUCAAUAGGUAUUGUUUUCUGGAAGUUAAGUUGUUUUCUGAAUACAUGUCAAAGCUAGUGGGAGCAUAAGUGUUAUGCUUAUAUGAUAAUAAUCAUCAUGAUAGUGGGAGCAUAAAUGUUAUGCUUGUAUGAUUAUUAUGGCAAGUAUUGCAAGUUAGCAAUAUUAAUUAUAGAAAACAAGAGUUAUACUUUGCAAAGUCGUAAGGGUUGAAAAGUUGUUUUGCUAUAAUUAAGGGAGAGAAUAUUAUGCUUCAUUUCAAAUCUAAAGGCUUAGGUUGUGGAAUGUUAAUAAAUUUAGUCAAGGAUACAUAGUGCGUUCUCAAAUUUCGAUUAUGAUUAUGGCAUCCCUCUUCAUAGUUCGAAUUGUGAGAACGUGACACAUAAAAUAUUAUGGCAAAAGAUUGAUAAAGUAUCAUAUCUUUAUGUAAGACAUUAUGCAUCGUGUCCCAUACGCUUCGGGUAUAGGAUCGAUUGCAAAUGCUAUAAUAUUUGACCAUUCUAAAAUUUUCCAAAUGUCUAGCGCAUUAAGAGGGAAAAAGGACUAGAAUCGGUUUUGACUAAAAUAAUUAAACAACUAUCAAAGGACGAUCCAAAGUUCGCUGAGGAUUGGUCGCUUGUGAGUAGUUGGAAGUAUGGUAUUGGAUGGACCAUAUCGACAUUAUUAUGAAUAGAUAAGAUUCUAUUAAGAAUGAGUUGUCAUAUGGCAAAUAUGGAAAUGUUUCCAUAUUGGGAGUUGGAUAUUGAGAAUCUAUGUCUAGAUUAGAAACUUUUAUGCAAGAAGGAUGUUCAAAGGAAUGUACUUUGAGUGAGAGACAUCAUAUCUAUAGAAUUGUUUCUGAUAGAGAUUGGCCAAGUCUUGAUGAUUUUGAGCUAUGACUUUACGAAAGGAUCAUUGCAUAAAAUGUUAGAAUCUAGCAUAUUCUAUAAGUGGCAAGAAUUUGAUAUUCUUAUACUUAUGAUAAGGAUUGGGAGUUGUGAAAUGAGUAUGAUUGGAAAUGUGUUCAUUUGAUCUAUUUCACAAAGUAAGGACCAUAGGUAAACAUUGUGUGCAUGCUGAGAGCAUGGGACAAGUGUAGUAAUAAUUCAAGUAAGAAGUUGAUUACCCGAAACAACAAAUAAUGAGUAAUCAAUAUGGUGAUUAAAUAAAAUGUUUUAUUUAUACCCAGAGUUUGGGGCCAUAUGGGAUUAGUAUUAUUCUUGUGUUUCACUUUGCAUGUUUUGACUUCCUGAAUAAUUAAAUUGGUUCAGAACAAUCAAAUUAUUCGAACGAACCACAGUCGUUCAUAUGUUGGAAGUAGUAACUUGGUGUCAUAAAACAUAUUGUUGAGACGAUAUGAAUGAAGAUUGUCGUGAAUUGGUGUGUGGAUUGUCUAAAGUCUAUUAGACAUAAGCAAAUGUUUGUUGCAACGUUCAUGAGUGCUUAUGAAUAUGAUUUGAGCAUUGGAUUAAACCCACGCUCACUUGGAUCACUUCAUGGAUUUUAUCACGAGUGAUUGGUGAGACGAUAAUGUCUUAUAUUCUUGAAACUGAUAUGUGUGAGUUGUAUCUUGCGAGUCGGUUACACAUUGAUAAUAUGUAAAUGCACCAGUAACUUGGUGUCAUAAAACAUAUUGUUGUGUGUGAUUCAGUAAGUGAAUGCAAGCAAGCAUUGAAUCAAAGUUUAUCUGUUCCUUUUAUCCAAAGUGGGAUGAAAGCGAUAUAUGUGGGCCCCUCGAUGAUUUAGUGAUGACACAUAAGCGCUUGGCCAAGCCGGGACUAAUUUGAUGUGUUCAAUUGUAGUCUGGCAGUCAUCAUAAAUCGUAAAUCGGGAAACAACACAUAGACAGAGAGAAUGAUUUAAAUCGAUGUCUCAGUCUAUACGAUAUCUAGAAUGGAGGAAUAUAUGAUCCCUUAUCUAAAGGACACUUCUGAUAAUAUCGGAGUUGACAACGGCUUUUGAAAGCUACGAUUGCAGAUCAGGAUCUGAAGUCAUACGUAGAAUAGUUAUUAGACUUAUCCAAGUGGGAGACUGUUAGAUUAGUGUCUAAGUCCGUAACUAUUUUGGUAUGUACUUGACUCGAUGGUGCAUGGUCCUUUUGGAUUGCCUUCACCAAAGCAACUUGAUAGGAUGAAUUAUGGAGAGAGAGAAAGAAUUAAUUAUGAUUUAUUAAUAUAUUAUGAGAAUAAUAUAUUAAAGGAGAAAUCAUAUUGUUUAAUUAAUAUUAGUCAAUAAUUAAUAAGAAUUAAUUUUGUGGCUAAAAGACAUUAAUUAAACUUAAGGGACUAGAACUGUCAAUUGUAUGAUAAUUGAAUAUUGGGCUAAUGGACUCCACAUUAGAGGGGUGGACGAAUUCUAUGGGGAAACCCAUUAGAAAUCAUCCUAGGUCUCUAAGGAGGGAGUCCAUGGGUUGCUUAGGGCCUAAGCAGACAAAUUAGGGUUUCCUUGUUAGAUAACCCUAAUAGCCUCACUAUUUAAAGGACCCUUGAGACUAAAAAACGUGGUGAACUAAUUGAUUAGGGUUUCUAGCUAUUUUUGGGUGUCUUCUCUAUUCUCAUUCUUCAUCCUCUUGCUCUUGGUGUUUGUAAGCCAUUAGAGGUACUACACUUGUGGUACUUGCUUUCAAGAGCUAAGGAAAUUCAAGGAACUAGUUGUUAUUGCUAUAUAACAACCAAAGGUAUGUAUUCUAUUUUUAUAUAUGAAUUUCGAAAAUAAUAGUAGCAUGCCAGGUUUCUUUUUGUGUUCAUAAAGUUAUAUAACUAAUAGUGAAAACAUAGAUCCAACUCUAGGGUUGCAUGCACACAUAGGAUUGUUUGUAUAAAAUCCA